rnacentral:rRNA from 1 species
UCCAAUCGAACUCGGAGAUAGCUGGUUCUCCCCGAAAUAGCUUUAGGGCUAGCCUCAUAUUAGAUACCCGGAGGUAAAGCACUGAAUGGCCUAGCGCCCGAGAGGGUAGCGAAGCCUAUCAAACUAAGAAUGCCGGAGUAUUGAUGUAUGGGAGUCAGACAGUGUGAGAUAAAUCUCAUUGUCAAAAGGGAAACAGCCCAGAUCUACAGCUAAGGUCCCAAAUUGUAUCUAAGUGGAAAACGAUGUGGAAAUACGCAGACAACCAGGAUGUUGGCUCAGAAGCAGCCACUCAUUUAAAGAGUGCGUAAUAGCUCACUGGUCGAGCGUCUCUGCGCGGAAAAUUUAACGGGGCUAAGAUACAAACCGAAGCUUAGGCUGCAUCGUAAGAUGCGGGGUAGGGGAGCGUUGUGUAAGCGGAGAAACAGUAGCGUAAGCGGCUGUGGAGUUUACAGAAGUGAGAAUGCCGGAAUGAGUAGCGCGAAUGUGGUGAGAAUCCACAUGGCCGGAAACCUCAGGUUUUUGGAGGAAGGUUCGUCCGCUCCAAGUUAGGCGGGAGCUAAGGUCAGGCCGAAAGGCGUAGCCGAUGCACAGACGGUAGAGAUUCCGUCCCCACCGAAAGAUUUAAGCACAGGGACACUUUUUGAAGGUCGGAGCCAGGUGUUGGUUCUGGUAGUGAUCGAGGGAAAUAUAGUACCGAAGUCCGGCUGGAAGAGAGGCGAGAAAAGCUGUGUGUAUAUCUAAGGUGCCCGUACCGCAAACCGACACAGGUAGGUAGGAAGAAGAUUCUAAGGCCAACGGGAGAAGGGUUGUUAAGGAACUCGGCAAGUUGACCCCGUAACUUCGGAAUAAGGGGUGCUCACGAGAGUGAGCCGCAGAGAAUAGGCCCAGGCAACUGUUUACCAAAAACACAGGUUUGUGCUAAAUCGAAAGAUGACGUAUACGAGCUGACGCCUGCCCGGUGCUGGAAGGUUAAAAGGAGAUGUGCAAGCAUUGAAUUGAAGCCCCAGUGAACGGCGGCCGUAACUAUAACGGUCCUAAGGUAGCGAAAUUCCUUGUCAGGUAAGUUCUGACCCGCAUGAAAGGCGUAAUGAUUUGGGCACUGUCUCAACAGCCCGCCCGGCGAAAUUGUAGUACCGGUGAAGAUGCCGGUUACCCGCGACAAGACGGAAAGACCCCAUGGAGCUUUACUGUAGCCUGAUAUUGGGUUUCGGUGUUGCAUGCACAGGAUAGAUGGGACACUGGGAAGCGGAUGCUUUGGCGUUCGUGGAGUGGACGUUGGGAUACCAUCCUUGCGACAUUGGAAUUCUAACCUGCGCCUCUGAAUCGAGGCGGGGGACAUUGUCAGGUGGGCAGUUUGACUGGGGCGGUCGCCUCCUAAAAAGUAGCGGAGGCGUUCAAAGGUUCGUUCGAUCUGGACGGAAACCAGAUGAUUGAGUGCAAACGCAUAAACGAGCCUGACUGCGAGACUGACGGGUCGAGCAGAGACGAAAGUCGGAGUUAGUGAUCCGGUGGUAUGUGAGUGGAAAUGCCAUCGCUCAACGGAUAAAAGUUACCCUGGGGAUAACAGGCUGAUCUCCCCCAAGAGUCCACAUCGACGGGGAGGUUUGGCACCUCGAUGUCGGCUCAUCGCAUCCUGGGGCUGAAUUCGGUCCCAAGGGUUUGGCUGUUCGCCAAUUAAAGCGGUACGCGAGCUGGGUUCAGAACGUCGUGAGACAGUUCGGUCCCUAUCUGUCGUGGGCGCAGGAUAUUUGAAAGGCGCUGUCCCUAGUACGAGAGGACCGGGAUGGACGAACCUCUGGUGCACCAGUUGUCACGCCAGUGGCACAGCUGGGCAGCUAUGUUCGGAUCGGAUAAACGCUGAAAGCAUCUAAGCGUGAAGCCGGCCUUAAGAUAAGAUAUCCCACUGAGUCAAUCAGGUAAGACCCCUUGAAGACUACAAGGUUGAUAGGCACACAGUGUAAGCGGAGUGAUCCGUUCAGCUAGCGUGUACUAAUAGGUCGAGGGCUUGACCC